UAGUAAAAUUAUAUAUUUUUUUAAUUUUUUUUUAGUGAUUAAGGAUGUUAGUAACUCCAUCACCACCCGGCUAUAAAACUUUCUCCCAAAUCGAGCACAGCGAAAUUAUUCCGUCCCUCUGAUCUUAACUAGGUUGUGUGCGAUUUUCUUCCCUCGCCUAAUGAAACUGACACAAAACUUGGGGCGUUCCUUGUCGAGUACUCGAGUUAAAGCAGAUGUGAUACGGUGGAACAGAGAAAAGCAGAGCUAAAAAAAAGAGGUUGAAAGCGGUAUAUGUUUCUCACUGAAUCACGUUGAACUUCUUACUGGCAAUAUGUGCUGUAAAGAGUACCUUAGGCACGUCAAUGGCUUUGCUGCCAAGUAUACUAGAUAUGUUACCUGUUUUUAACUCGUAUACAAGACAGUCGAUGGCUGACAUGACACACGAAGCCAUCGACAUGUCUAGUAUACGAGUAGAAAACGAGUUCCUUGUUGCGAGUGCGAAAAACAAUUGAACAAAUCUUUCUGAAAACCAGUGAAUUCGAUAAGAGGGGAAUAAAAAAGUAUACCUCCCCAAUACAGAACCUCAGCAGAUCAUAAUGCAGAAUUUGUCACACCAAAAGGGUGUUGGGCAUGUGAAUGUGAUCCUAUAUAUGACCGCAGCGCAGAACAAGUUCUUCUGAAUCUCCUCGAAUGGAAUUUGGAAAAGGGAAAAAGAAAAGAUAAAUGAGAAAGGAGGAUUUGUCUUCCAGGAAUAAUAAAACGUAAAGCUCGGGAAGCUUCCCUUCCCUUCCCUUCCCUUCAUGUGGCCGGGCAACAGUGGCUGUCUGGGACAGAGAUAAAAGGACUAAUAGAAGUCAGGGAUGAAGAGGUGAAAGCAUUGUCUCUUUCUUAAUGAAAAGCGCAGUGCUAGGAUGUUAACUUGAAGGAACGGGUGUCAUUUGAAGUUUCAAACGGUAUAUGUCGAUCGUACUUGUACAUCGUCCAUGUUGAAUUUGCCAUGAGACUGAGGGAGGAGGAUGAGUCAUUACGAAUGUGAGGAGGUGCUUGAUAUCUUGCCAGAAGAGCUGACUGAAAUAGUACUCCUCACAAAGUG